rnacentral:lncRNA from 1 species
UCCUAUAAUACAAAGCAUAUUAAAUGGCAAUAUGGAGUCAGUCCUGCAUUUAAUGUCUUGAACAUUUUAAAUUACUUCUAUUACCAUGUUGUUUUUUAGUAGAAUUGUUUCCUAAAGAAAACCACUCUUUGAUCAUGGCUCUCUCUGCCAGAAUUGUGUGCACUCUGUAACAUCUUUGGUUGUGGUAGUCCUGUUUUCCUAAUAACUUUGUUACUGUGCUGUGAAAGAUUACAAAUUUGAAUAUGUAGUGUACGUGCUAUUGAGUUGUGAACUGGUGGGCUGUAUGUAACAGCUGACCAACAUGUGAAGAUACUGGUACUUGAUAGCCUCUUAAGGAAAAUUUGCUUCCAAAUUUUAAGCUGGAAAGUCACUGGAAUAACUUUAAAAAA